ACGUGAAUUUGUACCUGAUGGCCUCUUUUCUUUUUAGCCAUCACAGACGACUUCCUAGUGUCAAUCAGUGUUUUUGCUGUUGUGUAAAAAGUAUUCCCGAGUUAAAGUGCUAUCUCGUCUCCUAUCCACGAAAGGACUUUGCUGCCACUCGGUGGUUCUGCUUUUUCUCAGCGGCAUGUGCUAACAAGGUGGUGUGAAAACUGUCAAAUGAACAUAACCUUUCAGACGACAGUUGGGGUGGUUUCGCAAACGGUCGCGACGACGCACUGAAAUGGAGUCUGCUGGUGGCGCCAUGUCACGGCUGGCAAGUGCUGCUGGGGUUGCAUCGCGUCACGCAAAUGGUGCGAAAACGACGAUGGCACACAGACACACCGACACACACGUGACUAAUGGCAAAGAUUCAGGCGCAUGUAGGCAAAGACUGGCAACGUGCGACUACAGGAACAACCAGCAUAUUUUCAUUUGCUUACGGUCAUAUCUCAUUAUACCUUAUAUUAUUUGCCUGUAGUUCCAUUAAUCGACGCAGUAAAGUCGCAAGCUAUGUAGUCUGCGUUAUUUACUAAUGUGAACUCAGCUGCGGGUCAGCGUGGUCUCUCUUGCUCUGCCCUAUCUUUUCGCGUUUGUUAUUUCAAGUAUACGAACGUAUGAAAGGAAUAAGUUGUCGUCAACCCGAUUUUAACACGAACCCACAAAGAGAACCUGUACCGGUUUCGCGGAAAGAAAGCUUUGCAGUUGAGGAAAAACUCGUCCUGGUCCGGGAUGCGAACCCGGGACCAAUGCCUUUGCGGGGUGGUCGCUCUGCUACCAUCUGAGCUAACCAAGAGGCUUGCAGAUCUGAGCGCGAGGGCGAAUUAAUCGACAACUCGGGGUAAAGGGACACUAAAACUUGGACACUGAAACCGCUGAAGUCAUUUGCCAUACACCAACAUAUGUGCAUCGUUUGUCUUCUCGGAGACCAUGCACAGUACGUGUAAAUUACGGUGUAUGCAAUCGAACUUGCACCUGUUGCAUGCAA